UUCGCCGGACGGGCAGCCGCGCUUGCCUGCGCCCGCAAGGGCAACGGUCGGGCGAGGAAAGUCCGGUCUCCAUAGGGCGGCGUGCCGGCUAACGGCCGGGGGGGUUCGCUCAAAGCGGAUUUCACGGAAAGCGCCACAGAAAAUACACCGCCGCGAUGCGGGCAAGGGCAACCGGGCCGGUCGAGGUAAGGGUGAAAAGGUGCGGUAAGAGCGCACCGCGGCGGCAGCAAUGCCGCUGGCAGGGCAAGCCCCACGCGGAGCAAGACCAAAUAGGGGAGAAGGAGCGGCCCGUUCUGUCCGACUCCCGGGUAGGUUGCUAGAGCCGGUCAGUAAUGGCCGGCCCAGAGGAAUGGCUGCCGCCGUCCGGCAACGGGCGGUACAGAAACCGGCUUACAGUUCGGCGAACCCA
rnacentral:RNase_P_RNA from 1 species